GGAAUCUGCCAGAAGUAGGUAGCCUAACCGCAAGGAGGGCGCUUACCACGGUGGGUUUCAUGACUGGGGUGAAGUCGUAACAAGGUAGCCGUAGGUGAACCUGCAGAAGGAUCA
rnacentral:rRNA from 1 species